GUAGGUGGCAAGCGUUAUCCGGAAUUAUUGGGCGUAAAGCGCGCGCAGGUGGUUCGUUUAAGUCUGAUGUGAAAGACCCCCGGGCUCAACCGGGGAGGGUCAUUGGAAACUGGGGAACUUGAGUGCAGGAGAGGAAAGUGGAAUUCCACGUGUAGCGGUGAAAUGCGUAGAUAUGUGGAGGAACACCAGUGGCGAAGGCGACUUUCUGGCCUGUAACUGACACUGAGGCGCGAAAGCGUGGGGAGCAAACAGGAUUAGAUACCCUGGUAGUCCACGCCGUAAACGAUGAGUGCUAAGUGUUGGGGGGGUUUCCGCCCCUCAGUGCUGCAGCUAACGCAUUAAGCACUCCGCCUGGGGAGUACGGUCGCAAAGACUG
rnacentral:rRNA from 1 species